rnacentral:rRNA from 1 species
CGGGUGAGUAACGCGUGGAAAACCUGCCGUAUACUGGGGAUAACGACUUAGAAAUAGGUGCUAAUACCGCAUAAGCGCACAGCUUCGCAUGAAGCAGUGUGAAAAACUCCGGUGGUAUACGAUGGUUCCGCGUCUGAUUAGCUAGUUGGUGAGGUAAAAGCCCACCAAGGCAACGAUCAGUAGCCGGCCUGAGAGGGUGAACGGCCACAUUGGGACUGAGACACGGCCCAGACUCCUACGGAAGGCAGCAG